CAGUGUGUGGUAAAGGGGACAAGAAGUACCUGAAUUCCAUCUUCUCACAGGAAACACAGGCUAGAAGAGAACGAGCUGGAGGGAGCAGGAAAGCAUUAGGCCAAAGAGGAUUCAGCUCCCCAGAGAAUGCAACUGCUGCUGGUGACUGACAGGUUUGCUCAGACUCCAAACAUACCAGGAUUUUAGUGCCGGGGAGGUGAGAGCUGCAAACAGU